CCUGUGUCCCGUGUAGAUCCCAUGUCCCUCCCAUGUCCUUCCUGUGUCCAUCCCGUGUAGAUCCCCUGUCCAUCCCAUGUCCCGUGUAGAUCCAGUGUCCAUUCCAUGUCCAUCCUGUGUCCAUCCCAUGUUCUUCCCGUGUCCAUCCCAUGUAGAUCCCGUGUCCAUCCCAUGUCCAUCCCAUGUCCAUCCCCUGUCCAUCCUGUGUCCCAUGUAGAUCCCGUGUCCAUCCCAUGUCCUUCCCAUGUCCAUCCCAUGUCCAUCCUCUGUCCUUUCCAUGUUCCAUGUAGAUUCCGUGUCCAUUCCGUGUGCAUCCCGUGUAGAUCCCGUGUCCCUCCCAUGUCCAUCCUGUGUCCAUCCCAUGUCCUUCCCAUGUAGAUCCCAUGUCUGUCUCGUGUGCAUCCCAUGUCCCGUGUAGAUCCUGUGUCCUUCCCAUGUUCAUCCCAUGUCCCAUGUAGAUCCUGUGUCCAUCCUGUGUCCUUCCCAUGUCCCGUGUAGAUCCCAUGUCCAUCCCAUGUCCAUCCCGUGUCCAUCCUAUGUCCCUCCCAUGUCCUAUGUCCAUCCUGUGUCCAUCCCGUGUCCUUCCUAUGUCCCAUGUAGAUCCUGUGUCCCUCCCAUGUCCUUCCAGUGUCCAUCCCAUGUCUCAUGUCCAUCCCAUGUCCAUCCUAUGUAGAUCCCAUGUCCAUCCCAUGUCCCAUGUAGAUCCUGUGUCCCUCCCAUGUCCUUCCGUGUCCUUCCCAUGUCCCUCCCAUGUCCUUCCAGUGUCUAUCCUGUGUCCAUCCCAUGUCCUUCCCAUGUCCCAUGUAGAUCCCAUGUCCCUCCCGUGUCCAUCCCGUGUCCAUCCCAUGUCCCGUGUAGAUCCCAUGUCCCUCCCAUGUCCAUCCUGUGUCCAUCCCGUGUCCUAUGUCCAUCCCGUGUCCCAUGUAGAUCCCAUGUCCCUCCCAUGUCCAUCCCGUGUCCAUCCCGUGUCCAUCCCAUGUCCUAUGUCCAUCCCGUGUCCCAUGUAGAUCCCAUGUGCCUCCCAUGUCCCUCCUGUGUCCCUCCUGUGUCCAUCGUAGAUCCCAUGUAAAUCCCAUGUAGAUCCCAUGUCCUUCCCGUGUCCCUCCCGUGUCCAUCCCAUGUCCUUCCCAUGUCCCAUGUAGAUCCCGUGUCCAUCCCAUGUUGCGUGUAGAUCCCAUGUCCUUUCCAUGUCCAUCCCAUGUCCUUCCUGUGGCCUUCCCAUGUAGAUCCCGUGUCCAUCCCAUGUAAAUCCCAUGUAGAUCCCAUGUCC
rnacentral:lncRNA from 1 species